AUGUUUCUCGAAUUCCUUGCUAUGCGGCCCACCAUUUCUUGUCAUUGUUUAUUCCUGCACAAUAGAGAAUGCAAAGAUAAAGUUCAAGAGGAUGAUAUUAUAAUAUUAUUACAGACAGUGGUAGACCUGAAUUUGUGUUUUUUUUGGGCGAUGGAUGACUACAAAGAUCAAUGGCGAUGCACCUGCUGGUCUUUGGACAGGGGAGUACCUGGGCUGGCCAACCCUGCUCGUCCCAAUGGUUGGUCCACCACAGGUUGCAGAUUAAUGCUCAAACUUCAAACCUAUGGAGGCCAUUCCACAAUCCCAGAUUAUAGUAGAGGAGCACGCUAUAACUCUGUGAGAUGGUACUUACUAAAGAUGGUCUGA
rnacentral:rRNA from 1 species